UCAGACAUGCAAGUCGAAUGCGAAAGGUUCCUUCGGGAACCGAGUAGAGUGGCGCACGGGUGAGUAACACGUAGGUAAUUUGCCUUUGGGUGGGGAAUAACUCAGGGAAACUUGAGCUAAUACCGCAUAAUGCAGCGGCUCGACAUCGAGACAGUUGUUAAAGCGGGGGAUCGCAAGACCUCGCGCCUGAAGAGAAGCCUGCGGCAGAUUAGCUAGUUGGUAAGGUAAUGGCUUACCAAGGCGACAAUCUGUAACCGGCCUGAGAGGGCGGUCGGUCACACUGACACUGACAUACGGGUCAGACUCCUACGGGAGGCAGCAGUCGGGAAUUUUGGGCAAUGGGCGAAAGCCUGACCCAGCAACGCCGCGUGAAGGAUGAAAUUUUUCGGAAUGUAAACUUCGCAAGAACGGGAAGAAUAAGUAGAAGAUAAUACCUUCUAUGAUGACGGUACCGUUUGUAAGCUCCGGCUAACUCCGUGCCAGCAGCCGCGGUAAUACGGGGGGAGCAAGCGUUGUUCGGAUUUACUGGGCGUAAAGGGCGCGUAGGCGGUCGUGACAAGUCACUUGUGAAAUCUCCGGGCUUAACUCGGAACGGUCAAGUGAUACUGUCGGACUAGAGUACAGAAGGGGCAACUGGAAUUCUCGGUGUAGCGGUGAAAUGCGUAGAUAUCGAGAGGAACACCUGCGGCGAAGGCGGGUUGCUGGGCUGAUACUGACGCUGAGGCGCGAAAGCCAGGGGAGCGAACGGGAUUAGAUACCCCGGUAGUCCUGGCCUUAAACGAUGAAUGCUUGGUGUCUCGGGUUAUAAAGUCCCGGGGUGCCGUCGCUAACGCUUUUAGCAUUCCGCCUGGGGAGUACGGUCGCAAGACUGAAACUCAAAGGAAUUGACGGGGACCCGCACAAGCGGUGGAGCAUGUGGUUUAAUUCGACGCA
rnacentral:rRNA from 1 species